GCCUGGGUGGCUCAAUUGGUUAAGCGUCUGACUUCAGUUCCGGUCAUGAUCUCAAAGUUUGUGGGUUCCAGCCCCACAUCAGGCU
rnacentral:tRNA from 1 species